UACGGAGGGUGCAAGCGUUGUCCGGAUUUAUUGGGUUUAAAGGGUGCGUAGGCGGUUCUUUAAGUCCGGGGUGAAAGCCCACUGCUCAACAGUGGAACUGCCCUGGAAACUGGAGAACUUGAGUACAGACGAGGGCGGCGGAAUGGAUGGUGUAGCGGUGAAAUGCAUAGAUACCAUCCAGAACCCCGAUUGCGAAGGCAGCUGCCUAGACUGUAACUGACGCUGAGGCACGAAAGAGUGGGGAGCGAACAGG
rnacentral:rRNA from 1 species